rfam:Propionibacterium acnes KPA171202, complete genome.
ACACGUGCUCCGGGGUCGGUGAAAGUCCGAACCGGCGGUGAUAGUCCGCGACCCGAGCCGUCCUCGUGGCGGUGAGGUUGAAUCGGUGAAAUUCCGGUACCGACGGUAAAAGUCCGGAUGGGAGGUAGCACGGAA